rnacentral:lncRNA from 1 species
AUGUUGGUGCAUAAUGAACACCACGUAUGGAUUGAAAUCCCAUUUACAGGAUGUUCAGUUACGGAACCUGUAAUCAGGAGAGGCUUGUCAUUCAUGCCUUGACACCUCUCAUUCAUCUGAGUCUGGCCUGCUGGAUAUGCAAAUGAUAGGAGGACUGAAAAUCAUAAUCCUUCAGCCGUGAUGGCGUCAACGUCACUAUUCUUGGAACAAGCCAUUUUUACCAGAGAUGUCUCCAAGAGCACCAGCAACCCCAGCUAUCUGGAUCUGAAGUGGAUAUGCUCAGAGACAUCCUGGCCCACCCCAAAGAAGAUGCUGCUGCACUCAGAAGACGCCAGAGCUAGCCACCACCCACACUGCAAGUCUGGAAGCUCUGCAAGGACCCAGCAAGGCAGCCUGCUCAGCGAAGGCUUUGUCUCCUGUGGCAGGAAGAGCAACAUUAAGAACAAGAACCCCGGGCUGGACUACCCCUGAGAUUUAAUGACCAGAGCUGAGACCCCCAAGACCACAAUGACUAUGGAGGGCUGUCAUUACCCUGCCUGACCCUCUAAUGCCUCUCAGUUCAAGGAGGCCACUGAGUGAAACUGAAGGCUGGUUUUCCUUGGAAGCCAGCGGCCCAUCCACCUGCUCCACUUCCCUGCCUCUUGCAGCCUCCGCUCAAACACUGUCGUGGCUUGGCAGCACUACAAGGCAGAGUGAAAACAGAUACUUCUACCCACAUUCCUAUCUCCUCUCAUUUACGCAGAUUAAAUGCUUUCUUUCCUUGUUUUACACUGCUAGGAUUUUCAUCACCCUGUUUUUUCUUUCUCUACAUCAGCUACAAGAAAAAAAAAAGGAGUUACUGAGCAACUAAGAA